rnacentral:lncRNA from 1 species
UGGAGAAUGAUUCAGUUCAAAACUGGGAAGGGAGAAGGAUGGUUGAUAUUGUUCCAGAAGAUCUCACUGCCUAUAAAAAGAGUUUCUUCCAGAUCAGUGAAUGAUUCUUGUAAAGCAGCUCAUGGAAUGGACUUCUGAGACCAACUAUGAGCCCUCCAGACUGGUGCUUUCCAACCAACAGACAAAAGUAUCCACUCUACACGAAUGAUACAUAGAUAUAUACACAGAAUACCAGGAUGGAUACAGUUUCUUCAGUUUCAUGAAUGAGGUAUUCAGCAGGUCUUGGUCCACAGAAGCAACGACAUCAGGUUUUCCAAUUCCAUUUGACAUGGGACCAGAACCUUCAACCGAAUGUUCCUUCCUGGAAAGCUGCAGCCUGUCAGCGUGGCUCAGUGGUUU